CGCGUAGGCGGUCCGGAAAGUUGGGUGUGAAAGCCCUCAGCUCAACUGAGGAAUUGCGUCCAAAACUGUCGGACUCGAGGGAGACAUAGGUGAGCGGAACUUAGGGUGGAGCGGUGAAAUGCGUUGAGAUCCUAAGGAACACCAGUAGCGAAAGCGGCUCACUGGGUCUCUUCUGACGCUGAUGCACGAAAGCUAGGGGAGCGAAGA
rnacentral:rRNA from 1 species